GUCGAACGAGUUCUCGUUGAUGAUCGGUGCUUGCACCGAGAUUCAACAUGGAACGAGUGGCGGACGGGUGAGUAACACGUGGGUAACCUGCCCUUAAGUGGGGGAUAACAUUUGGAAACAGAUGCUAAUACCGCAUAGAUCCAAGAACCGCAUGGUUCUUGGCUGAAAGAUGGCGUAAGCUAUCGCUUUUGGAUGGACCCGCGGCGUAUUAGCUAGUUGGUGAGGUAACGGCUCACCAAGGCGAUGAUACGUAGCCGAACUGAGAGGUUGAUCGGCCACAUUGGGACUGAGACACGGCCCAAACUCCUACGGGAGGCAGCAGUAGGGAAUCUUCCACAAUGGACGCAAGUCUGAUGGAGCAACGCCGCGUGAGUGAAGAAGGCUUUCGGGUCGUAAAACUCUGUUGUUGGAGAAGAAUGGUCGGCAGAGUAACUGUUGUCGGCGUGACGGUAUCCAACCAGAAAGCCACGGCUAACUACGUGCCAGCAGCCGCGGUAAUACGUAGGUGGCAAGCGUUAUCCGGAUUUAUUGGGCGUAAAGCGAGCGCAGGCGGUUUUUUAAGUCUGAUGUGAAAGCCCUCGGCUUAACCGAGGAAGCGCAUCGGAAACUGGGAAACUUGAGUGCAGAAGAGGACAGUGGAACUCCAUGUGUAGCGGUGAAAUGCGUAGAUAUAUGGAAGAACACCAGUGGCGAAGGCGGCUGUCUGGUCUGUAACUGACGCUGAGGCUCGAAAGCAUGGGUAGCGAACAGGAUUAGAUACCCUGGUAGUCCAUGCCGUAAACGAUGAAUGCUAGGUG
rnacentral:rRNA from 1 species